rnacentral:lncRNA from 1 species
GCGUCCGGGCGACACCGGGCCGACGCGGGAACCCAUCCCCUUGAGGGCCUCCUCCCAACCCGAAGGCUCCUUUCCGUCUCCCGUCCUCACCUGCCAGGCCAAUCUCCCCCCGGCACCGUCCGCCGCCCUUCCCAACCCCUAGUGGAACGCAGGUCGGAGAGCGAGCAGAGCUAGCGCGCGCUCAGCGGCGGAGAGCAGCCGGCAGGAGCCCCUGUGUGGUGGCCGCCAUCUUGGGCCUGAGCAGAGCGGCUGAGGCGGGGACGACCCGGGCGACACCAUCUGUAGGGGUGGUGACGAACCGGGUCAGGGAAGAGGACAGCGCAAAAGCUCGCAAACCUUGUCAGCCUGGAUCCACGUCUUAUUCAAAACGUGUCGCGAUCAUUCACAGCUUAAGAUGUACGGGAUUCGCGCGUGAGAAGGGAGAGAGAAGCGCCGGUUUGCCGACGCCACCCCCUCUCAUCAGGGCUGGCGCGGCGAGUGGCAGCUCCUUAGGUCACGGCUUCCGCCGGCGCCAGUGGCCUAGCUCCCUGCGGCUGUCCUUGGUCGCCUUGUCACCAGGCUGAAGUCAAGAUGACCUUAUUUCAGCUUCUACGUGAGCACUGGGUUCAUAUACUUGUCCCUGCGGGAUUUGUCUUUGGAUGUUAUCUAGACAGAAAGGAUGAUGAAAAGCUAACUGCCUUCAGGAAUAAGAGCAUGCUAUUUCAAAGGGAACUGAGGCCCAAUGAAGAAGUUACUUGGAAGUAAAAAAUGGUUAAAUCACAGAAUGUUCACAUUAUAAAAGUUAUUGGAGAAAUAAAAACAUUUACUAUUUAAUUAGAAG